rnacentral:rRNA from 1 species
CCUACGGGUGACAGCAGUAGGGAAUAUUCGACAAUGGAGGGAACCCUGAUCCAGCGACGCCGCGUGAGUGAAGAAGGAUUUCGGUAUGUAAAGCUCUGUCAGCAGGGAAGAAAAUUACGGUACGUGACUAGGAAGCCCCGGCUAACUACGUGCCAGCAGCCGAGGUAAUACGUAGGGGGCAAGCGUUCUCCGGAUUUACUGGGUGUAAAGGGAGCGUAGACGGUGCAGCAAGUCUGAUGUGAAAGGUCGGGGCUCAACCCGGGGACUGCAUUGGAAACUGUUGAACUGGAGUGCAGUAGAGGUGAGCGGAAUUCCUAGUGUAGCGGUGAAAUGCGUAGAUAUUAGGAAGAACACCAGUGGCGAAGGCGGCUUACUGGACUGUAACUGACGUUGAGGCUCGAAAGCGUGGGGAGCAAACAGGAUUAGAUACCCGAGUAGUC